rnacentral:rRNA from 1 species
AACGCUAGCUACAGGCUUAACACAUGCAAGUCGAGGGGAAACGAUAUUGGAAGCUUGCUUCCGAUAGGCGUCGACCGGCGCACGGGUGAGUAACGCGUAUCCAACCUGCCCACCACUUGGGGAUAACCUUGCGAAAGUAAGACUAAUACCCAAUGAUAUCUCUAGAAGACAUCUGAAAGAGAUUAAAGAUUUAUCGGUGAUGGAUGGGGAUGCGUCUGAUUAGCUUGUUGGCGGGGUAACGGCCCACCAAGGCGACGAUCAGUAGGGGUUCUGAGAGGAAGGUCCCCCACAUUGGAACUGAGACACGGUCCAAACUCCUACGGGAGGCAGCAGUGAGGAAUAUUGGUCAAUGGACGUAAGUCUGAACCAGCCAAGUAGCGUGCAGGAUGACGGCCCUAUGGGUUGUAAACUGCUUUUAUAAGGGAAUAAAGUUAGUCUCGUGAGACUUUUUGCAUGUACCUUAUGAAUAAGGACCGGCUAAUUCCGUGCCAGCGGCCGCGGUAAUACGGAAGGUCCGGGCGUUAUCCGGAUUUAUUGGGUUUAAAGGGAGCGUAGGCCGGAGAUUAAGCGUGUUGUGAAAUGUAGACGCUCAACGUCUGCACUGCAGCGCGAACUGGUUUCCUUGAGUACGCACAAAGUGGGCGGAAUUCGUGGUGUAGCGGUGAAAUGCUUAGAUAUCACGAAGAACUCCGAUUG